UACAGAGGUCUCAAGCGUUGUUCGGAUUCAUUGGGCGUAAAGGGUGCGUAGGUGGCGGGGUAAGUCGGAUGUUAAAUCCCGGGGCUCAACCCCGGAACUGCAUUCGAUACUGCCUUGCUCGAGUACUGGAGAGGAGAUUGGAAUUUACGGUGUAGCAGUGAAAUGCGUAGAUAUCGUAAGGAAGACCAGUGGCGAAGGCGAAUCUCUGGACAGUUACUGACACUGAGGCACGAAGGCCAGGGGAGCAAACGGG
rnacentral:rRNA from 1 species